GACGAACGCUGGCGGCGUGCUUAACACAUGCAAGUCGAACGGAAAGGCCCUGCUUUUGUGGGGUGCUCGAGUGGCGAACGGGUGAGUAACACGUGAGUAACCUGCCCUUGACUUUGGGAUAACUUCAGGAAACUGGGGCUAAUACCGGAUAGGAGCUCCUGCUGCAUGGUGGGGGUUGGAAAGUUUCGGCGGUUGGGGAUGGACUCGCGGCUUAUCAGCUUGUUGGUGGGGUAGUGGCUUACCAAGGCUUUGACGGGUAGCCGGCCUGAGAGGGUGACCGGCCACAUUGGGACUGAGAUACGGCCCAGACUCCUACGGGAGGCAGCAGUGGGGAAUAUUGCACAAUGGGCGGAAGCCUGAUGCAGCAACGCCGCGUGCGGGAUGACGGCCUUCGGGUUGUAAACCGCUUUCGCCUGUGACGAAGCGUGAGUGACGGUAAUGGGUAAAGAAGCACCGGCUAACUACGUGCCAGCAGCCGCGGUGAUACGUAGGGUGCGAGCGUUGUCCGGAUUUAUUGGGCGUAAAGGGGUCGUAGGUGGUUGAUCGCGUCGGAAGUGUAAUCUUGGGGCUUAACCCUGAGCGUGCUUUCGAUACGGGUUGACUUGAGGAAGGUAGGGGAGAAUGGAAUUCCUGGUGGAGCGGUGGAAUGCGCGGAUAUCAGGAGGAACACCAGUGGCGAAGGCGGUUCUCUGGGCCUUUCCUGACGCUGAGGAGCGAAAGCGUGGGGAGCGAACAGGCUUAGAUACCCUGGUAGUCCACGCUGUAAACGGUGGGUACUAGGUGUGGGGUCCAUUCCACGGGUUCCGUGCCGUAGCUAACGCUUUAAGUACCCCGCCUGGGGAGUACGGCCGCAAGGCUAAAACUCAAAGGAAUUGACGGGGCCCCGCACAAGCGGCGGAGCAUGCGGAUUAAUUCGAUGCAACGCGUAGAACCUUACCUGGGUUUGACAUGGAUCGGGAGUGCUCAGAGAUGGGUGUGCCUCUUUUGGGGUCGGUUCACAGGUGGUGCAUGGCUGUCGUCAGCUCGUGUCGUGAGAUGUUGGGUUAAGUCCCGCAACGAGCGCAACCCUUGUUCACUGUUGCCAGCACGUUAUGGUGGGGACUCAGUGGAGACCGCCGGGGUCAACUCGGAGGAAGGUGGGGAUGACGUCAAGUCAUCAUGCCCCUUAUGUCCAGGGCUUCACGCAUGCUACAAUGGCUGGUACAGAGAGUGGCGAGCCUGUGAGGGUGAGCGAAUCUCGGAAAGCCGGUCUCAGUUCGGAUUGGGGUCUGCAACUCGACCUCAUGAAGUCGGAGUCGCUAGUAAUCGCAGAUCAGCAACGCUGCGGUGAAUACGUUCCCGGG
rnacentral:rRNA from 1 species